UGUGGUGUAGCUCAGCCGGAUAGAGCAGUCAACCUCUCAGUGCGUUCCGCGCAGGUUCGAAUCCUGCCACCACACCACCA
rnacentral:tRNA from 1 species